UACGGAAGGCAGCAGUGGGGAAUAUUGGACAAUGGGCGAAAGCCUGAUCCAGCCAUGCCGCGUGUGUGAAGAAGGCCUUUUGGUUGUAAAGCACUUUAAGCGAGGAGGAGGCUACUUGGAUUAAUACUCUAGGAUAGUGGACGUUACUCGCAGAAUAAGCACCGGCUAACUCUGUGCCAGCAGCCGCGGUAAUACAGAGGGUGCGAGCGUUAAUCGGAUUUUACUGGGCGUAAAGCGUGCGUAGGCGGCUUUUUUAAGUCGGAUGUGAAAUCCCUGAGCUUAACUUAGGAAUUGCAUUCGAUACUGGGAAGCUAGAGUAUGGGAGAGGAUGGUAGAAUUCCAGGUGUAGCGGUGAAAUGCGUAGAGAUCUGGAGGAAUCCGAUGGCGAAGGCAGCCAUCUGGGCCUAAUACUGACGCUGAGGUACGAAAGCAUGGGGAGCAAACAGGAAUUAAGAAUAACC
rnacentral:rRNA from 1 species